rnacentral:rRNA from 1 species
UAGCGAUGCCGCGAUCAUUUGAUUCGGCAGUUGAAAUGAGAACAAUGAAAGAAUUUUAUCGAGAAUCUAUUGGAGGGCAAGUUCUGGUGCCAGCAGCCGCGGUAAUUCCAGCUCGAAAAGCGUAUGUUAAAGUUGCUGCGGUUAAAACGCUYGUCGUUGGACAUCAGGAGAUGGAUCGUGGACAACCUAGAGUUGCUACUACGGUUUCACUCCUUUUUUAUGCCAGUUCAUCGAUGAUGUACUUGAAUGUGUGUCACGGUAGAAGGUCAAUGUCACUUUGAGAAAAUUAGUGUGCUCAACGCAGGCUUUACGCUUGUAUAAUGCUGCAUGGGAUGACGGAAUAGGGCCUCGGUUCCGUUUCGUUGGUUUACGAAAGCAGAGGUCAUGAUUAAUCGGGACAGACGGGGGCAUUCGUAUUGCGAUGCUAGAAGUGAAAUUCUGUGACCAUCGCAAGACGGACAACUGCGAAAGCAUUUGCCAAGAAUGUUUUCAUUAAUCAAGAACGAAAGUUAGAGGAUCGAAGACGAUUAGAUACCGUCCUAGUUCUAACUGUAAACUAUGCCGACCGGGGAUUCGCCAAUGCAAUAUUGCUUGGCGAGCACCCUCCGGGAAACCAAAGUGAUUGGGUUCCGGGGGGAGUAUGGUUGCAAAAUCGAAACUUAAAGGAAUUGACGGAGGGGCACACCAGAAGUGGAGCCUGCGGCUCAAUUUGACUCAACGCACGAAAGCUUACUCGGUCCGAACACCGUGAGGAUUGACA